GGAGUCGACUCGGCUGAAACAGGAGUCACUUAUGAAUAGUAGUCUGUCGGCACUAUAGCUGGGAGUCGGCUCCGCACUGUAGCACUGAAGUUGGAGUCGACUCGAGAUCACUGUAGCGCUGAAAAUCAACUUUCUGUUUUUUUGUUUGUUCUCAGUCGGAGUCGACUCGUAGAGUAUCGGAGUCGACUCGAGCACUGUUUCUUGAAACUCUAGAGUGCCAGAGUCGACUCGGAACUUCCAGGAGUCGACUCGAGGACUAUUCUUUUGAAUCUUUCUUUGAGUUUGCUCCUCCAACUUGAAUCCUUUGAACUUGAAACUUGGGCCAAUUAAGUAUAUCUUUCUUCCAACUUUUUGAGAGCUUUUGAGGCCUUCUUCUAUUCUUCCAACUUGUUAUGUUUCUAGCAAAAUAAAUAUCUUU
rnacentral:lncRNA from 1 species